rnacentral:rRNA from 1 species
UACGGAGGAUGCGAGCGUUAUCCGGAUUUAUUGGGUUUAAAGGGUGCGUAGGCGGAUUUUUAAGUCAGCGGUAAAAUGUCCGGGCUCAACCCGGGCCGGCCGUUGAAACUGGGGAUCUUGAGUGGGCGAGAAGUAUGCGGAAUGCGUGGUGUAGCGGUGAGAUGCAUAGAUAUCACGCAGAACUCCGAUUGCGAAGGCAGCAUACCGGCGCCCGACUGACGCUGAGGCACGAAAGCGUGGGGAUCGAACAGG